rnacentral:rRNA from 1 species
AUGAACGCUAGCUACAGGCUUAACACAUGCAAGUCGAGGGGCAGCAUGAACUUAGCUUGCUAAGUUUGAUGGCGACCGGCGCACGGGUGAGUAACACGUAUCCAACCUGCCGAUGACUCGGGGAUAGCCUUUCGAAAGAAAGAUUAAUACCCGAUGGCAUAGUUCUUCCGCAUGGUAGAACUAUUAAAGAAUUUCGGUCAUCGAUGGGGAUGCGUUCCAUUAGGUUGUUGGCGGGGUAACGGCCCACCAAGCCUUCGAUGGAUAGGGGUUCUGAGAGGAAGGUCCCCCACAUUGGAACUGAGACACGGUCCAAACUCCUACGGGAGGCAGCAGUGAGGAAUAUUGGUCAAUGGACGAGAGUCUGAACCAGCCAAGUAGCGUGAAGGAUGACUGCCCUAUGGGUUGUAAACUUCUUUUAUACGGGAAUAAAGUGAGGCACGUGUGCCUUUUUGUAUGUACCGUAUGAAUAAGGAUCGGCUAACUCCGUGCCAGCAGCCGCGGUAAUACGGAGGAUCCGAGCGUUAUCCGGAUUUAUUGGGUUUAAAGGGAGCGUAGGCGGACGCUUAAGUCAGUUGUGAAAGUUUGCGGCUCAACCGUAAAAUUGCAGUUGAUACUGGGUGUCUUGAGUACAGUAGAGGCAGGCGGAAUUCGUGGUGUAGCGGUGAAAUGCUUAGAUAUCACGAAGAACUCCGAUUGCGAAGGCAGCUUGCUGGACUGUAACUGACGCUGAUGCUCGAAAGUGUGGGUAUCAAACAGGAUUAGAUACCCUGGUAGUCCACACAGUAAACGAUGAAUACUCGCUGUUUGCGAUAUACAGUAAGCGGCCAAGCGAAAGCGUUAAGUAUUCCACCUGGGGAGUACGCCGGCAACGGUGAAACUCAAAGGAAUUGACGGGGGCCCGCACAAGCAGUGGAGUAUGUGGUUUAAUUCGACGCAACGCGAAGAACCUUACCAAGGCUUGACAUAUACAGGAAUAUGUUAGAAAUAGCAUAGCUCUUCGGAGCUUGUAUACAGGUGGUGCAUGGUUGUCGUCAGCUCGUGUCGUGAGAUGUUGGGUUAAGUCCCGCAACGAGCGCAACCCCUGUGAUUAGUUGCCAGCGAGUAAUGUCGGGAACUCUAAUCAAACUGCCGGUGAUAAAUCGGAGGAAGGUGGGGACGACGUCAAAUCAUCAUGCCCUUUAUGUCUUGGGCUACACACGUACUACAAUGGCUAUAACAAAGAGAAGCGAGACAGUGAUGUGGAGCAAAACUCAAAAAAAUAGUCUCAGUUCGGAUUGAAGGCUGAAAUUCGCCUUCAUGAAGCUGGAAUUGCUAGUAAUGGCAGGUCAGCAUACUGCCGUGAAUACGUUCCCGGGCCUUGUACACACCGCCCGUCACACCAUGAGAGUUGGAAAUACCCGAAGCCUGUGAGCUAACCUAAGAGGCAGCAGUCGAAGGUAGAGCCAAUGAUUGGGGUG